GCUGUGAUGGCCGAGUGGUUAAGGCGUUGGACUCGAAAUCCAAUGCGGUCUUCCCGCGCAGGUUCAAACCCUGCUCGCAGCG
rnacentral:tRNA from 1 species